rnacentral:lncRNA from 1 species
ACCAAUGAAAAAUCAAGCAAGGGCUAAGCAAUUGAGAGCGAUAAGGAACAAACAAGAUGAAAAAUGCGUGAAAAUGUUAGAUCCCCCACCGCUUGGGUGGUGUCUGUCUUUUAUAGCUUGGUUUUGACCCGCUAGGGAUCAUGGGUCGCCUGGCCCAAUAAUUGUACCAAUAAUGGGAAGCCCAAUACAUAAAGCUGAUACGCCCAUACCAGUACACAAGCCCACGAGACACCAAGUCUUAAAAACUUUAAGAUGAAGUGUGUCUUCUGAUCAAGCCCACAAGUAAUCAACUCACCCAACACUACACAAAGACUAACAAGUAAUUGACACGCCCAAAAAUGUGCAAAGAAAAUAAUGGGCGCACAGGCUCCAAAA